rnacentral:lncRNA from 1 species
UUAAUUCUUGUUAGCACAUGAUUUCAUAUGAAAGCAUGUAAUCACUAGCAUAUAACACCCUAAAGGCAACCCGAUGCACUAAACUUCCGUUAUGGACGGGGUCCGGGGAAAGGCCUGACUACAAGGGUCUAUUGUUCGUAGCCUUAGCUUGCAAUUCUGCAAGAGGCUGUUUCCACGGCUUGAACCCAUGACCUUCUCGUCAUAUAGCAACAACUUUACCAAUUACGUCAAGAUUCCUCCUUCACUGACAUAUAACACCCUGCAGAAAAGAAAUGUCUGCUUAUAGAAGUGUUUUAUUGAUGUAUAGAUAAGACAGAUUAAAUGAUCAAUUGUAUGAAGUUGCAGUACUUUCUUUCAGAAAUAGAGAAGUGAUUUCUACACUCAAAAUGAUAGGAAUUGAUUAGAAUGGCGGAAGCAGGAUUUUCGCCAAGGGAUUCAAAAAUAAAAAUGUACAAACUAAAAAGCUAAAAAGAUUCAACAUCUAAUAUAUAUACAUAGAAAAAAAUUUGACCUUACAUGCACAUUGUAAUUUUCGACAAAAGGGGUUCAGUUGAAUCCUCUUCAACCCGCGCACCUAGAUCUGACCCUGGAUCAGAGUUCUUUAAUAUUAUAGAACCCAUUAAGUUAUCAUUAUAUGCUAGGAGUUUUACAACU